rnacentral:rRNA from 1 species
GAUGAACGCUGGCGGCGUGCCUAAUACAUGCGAGUCGAGCGAAUGGAUUAAGAGCCUGCUCUUAUGAAGUUAGCGGCGGACGGGUGAGUAACACGUGGGUAACCUGCCCAUAAGACUGGGAUAACUCCGGGAAACCGGGGCUAAUACCGGAAAACAUUUUGAACCGCAUGGUUCGAAAUUGAAAGGCGGCUUCGGCUGUAACUUAUGGAUGGACCCGCGUCGCAUUAGCUAGUUGGUGAGGUAACGGCUCACCAAGGCAACGAUGCGUAGCCGACCUGAGAGGGUGAUCGGCCACACUGGGACUGAGACACGGCCCAGACUCCUACGGGAGGCAGCAGUAGGGAAUCUUCCGCAUGGACGAAAGUCUGACGGAGCAACGCCGCGUGAGUGAUGAAGGCUUUCGGGUCGUAAAACUCUGUUGUUAGGGAAGAACAAGUGCUAGUUGAAUAAGCUGACACCUUGACGGUACCUAACCAGAAAGCCACGGCUAACUACGUGCCAGCAGCCGCGGUAA